CAGUCGCCACGGGAAUACGGAGGGUGCAAGCGUUAAUCGGAAUUACUGGGCGUAAAGCGCACGCAGGCGGUUUGUUAAGUCAGAUGUGAAAUCCCCGGGCUCAACCUGGGAACUGCAUUUGAAACUGGCAAGCUAGAGUCUCGUAGAGGGGGGUAGAAUUCCAGGUGUAGCGGUGAAAUGCGUAGAGAUCUGGAGGAAUACCGGUGGCGAAGGCGGCCCCCUGGACGAAGACUGACGCUCAGGUGCGAAAGCGUGGGGAGCAAACAGGAUUAGAGACCCCUGUAGUCCCUGUCUCUUAUAC
rnacentral:rRNA from 1 species